rnacentral:rRNA from 1 species
AUACGGAGGAUCCGAGCGUUAUCCGGAUUUAUUGGGUUUAAAGGGAGCGUAGGCGGACGCUUAAGUCAGUUGUGAAAGUUUGCGGCUCAACCGUAAAAUUGCAGUUGAUACUGGGUGUCUUGAGUACAGUAGAGGCAGGCGGAAUUCGUGGGGUAGCGGUGAAAUGCUUAGAUAUCACGAAGAACUCCGAUUGCGAAGGCAGCCUGCUGGACUGUAACUGACGCUGAUGCUCGAAAGUGUGGGUAUCAAACAGGAUUAGAUACCCUGGUAGUCCACACAGUAAACGAUGAAUACUCGCUGUUUGCGAUAUACAGUAAGCGGCCAAGCGAAAGCGUUAAGUAUUCCACCUGGGGAGUACGCCGGCAACGGUGAAACUCAAAUGAAUUGGCGGGG